rnacentral:rRNA from 1 species
AUUGAACGCUGGCGGCAGGCCUAACACAUGCAAGUCGAACGAGUGGCGGACGGGUGAGUAAUGUCUGGGAAACUGCCUGAUGGAGGGGGAUACCUACUGGAAACGGUAGCUCAUACCGCAUACCAUCGGAUGUGCCCAGAUGGGAUUAGCUAGUAGGUGGGGUAACGGCUCACCUAGGCGACGAUACCUAGCUGGUCUGAGAGGAUGACCAGCCACACUGGAACUGAGACACGGUCCAGAGUCCGACGGGAGGCAGCAGUGGGGAAUAUUGCACAAGGGGGGCAAGCCUGAUGCAGCCAUGGCGCGUGUAUGAAGAAGGCCAUCGGGUUGUAAAGUACUUACAGCGGGGAGGCGUUACCCGCAGAAGAAGCACCGGCUAACUCCGGGCCAGCCGCCGCGGUAAUUC